GACGAACGCUGGCGGCGUGCCUAAUACAUGCAAGUAGAACGCACAGUUUAUACCGUAGCUUGCUACACCAUAGACUGUGAGUUGCGAACGGGUGAGUAACGCGUAGGUAACCUGCCUGGUAGCGGGGGAAAACUAUUGGAAACGAUAGCUAAUACGGCAUAAUAUUAAUUAUUGCAUGACAAUUAAUUGAAAGGUGCAAUUGCAACACUACCAGAUGGACCUGCGUUGUAUUAGCUAGUAGGUGAGGUAACGGCUAACCUAGGCGGCGAUACAUAGCCGACCUGAGAGGGUGAUCAGCCACACUGGGACGGGGACAAGGCCCAGACUCCUACGGGAGGCAGCAGUAGGGCAUCUUCGGCAAUGGACGGAAGUCUGACCGAGCAACGCCGCGUGAGUGAAGAAGGUUUUCGGCUCGUAAAGCUCGGUUGUAAGAGAAGAACGGGUGUGAGAGUGGAAAGUUCACACUGUGACGGUACCUUACCAGAAAGCGACGGCUAACUACGUG
rnacentral:rRNA from 1 species